rnacentral:rRNA from 1 species
AUUGAACGCUGGCGGCAGGCCUAACACAUGCAUGUCGAACGAGUGGCGGACGGGUGAGUAAUGUCUGGGUAACUGCCUGAUGGAGGGGGAUAACUACUGGAAACGGUAGCUAAUACCGCAUACCAUCGGAUGUGCCCAGAUGGGAUUAGCUAGUAGGUGGGGUAACGGCUCACCUAGGCGACGAUCCCUAGCUGGUCUGAGAGGAUGACCAGCAACACUGAAACGGAGACACGGCCGAGACUACUACGGGAGGUAGCAGUGGGGAAUAAUGAACAAGGGGAGCAAGCCUGAUGCAGCCAUGCCGCGUAUAUGAAGAAGGCCUGAGGGUUGGAAAGCACUUUCAGCGGGGAGGCGUUACCCGCAGAAGAAGCACCGGCUAAAUACGUGCCAGCAGCCGCGGUAAUAC